rnacentral:rRNA from 1 species
GAUGAACGCUGGCGGCGUGCCUAAUACAUGCAAGUCGAGCGAACAGACGAGGAGCUUGCUCCUCUGACGUUAGCGGCGGACGGGUGAGUAACACGUGGAUAACCUACCUAUAAGACUGGGAUAACUUCGGGAAACCGGUGCUACUACCGGCUAAUAUAUUGAACCGCAUGGUUCAAUAGUGAAAGACGGUUUUGCUGUCACUUAUAGAUGGAUCCGCGCCGCAUUAGCUAGUUGGUAAGGUAACGGCUCACCAAGGCGACGAUGCGUAGCCGACCUGAGAGGAUGAUCGGCCACACUGGAACUGAGACACGGUCCAGACUCCUACGGGAGGCAGCAGUAGGGAAUCUUCCGCAAUGGGCGAAAGCCUGACGGAGCAACGCCGCGUGAGUGAUGAAGGUCUUCGGAUCGUAAAACUCUGUUAUUAGGGAAGAACAAAUGUGUAAGUAACUAUGCACGUCUUGACGGUACCUAAACAGAAAGCCACGGCUAACUACGUG